rnacentral:rRNA from 1 species
AGUCUGCAACCCGACUCCACGAAGCUGGAUUCGCUAGUAAUCGCGCAUCAGCCACGGCGCGGUGAAUACGUUCCCGGGCCUUGUACACACCGCCCGUCAAGCCAUGGGAGGCCGGGGGUACCUGAAGUGCGUAACCGCGAGGAGCGCCCUAGGGUAAAACUGGUGACUGGGGCUAAGUCGUAACAAGGUAUC